rnacentral:lncRNA from 1 species
AUAAACAAGGAUCCGCCCUUCCUAUUUUUCUUCAGCUUCUUUCUUACAUACCUGUGUUUCAACACUCGGAUUAUCUCUCCGGCAACGUCUUCCUGGUGGUGGAAGUGGUGAACACUGAAGGCUAAGUAACAAGUUAGCAAAAUGGGACCUGGAGGGCCGGGAGGAGGGCCGGGAGGACCUGGUGGACCGGGAGGAUGGGGAGGAGGACCUGGUGGUUGGGGUCCUGGCCCCGGAGGACCUGGCGGAUUUGGGCCUGGAGGUCCUGGUUGGGGUCCGGGACCUGGAGGUCCCUGGGGCCCUGGAUUUGGAGGUCCUGGUUUUUGGCCUGGUGGGUUCUUUGGCGGCUUUGCAGAUGGUUUGUGCAAUAUGAUAUCUUCCUGGUAAGCAAUCAAAUCUUUACUCAAUUCCGGUAUAGUUAAAUGCGGUUUGAUUGAGGUUAAAUUUGAUUGGGAUUGC